rnacentral:sRNA from 1 species
UAGGAUCUGUUUUUUGGAUCCUUUCUAUCAAGACAUUAUCAGAUGAACAGUACAACUCACAACUACUAUAUGUCCCGUUUCCCUAUUGCUGACCUCUUUUAAAGGCUAUGCCUCCGCAACCUGAGUUAGCAUCCUCUGGAAAAUACUGCAGUUUUAAUUUUCAAAACUUGUAAUCCCACUUUUAAUCAUCUCCACGUGCAUUCUCAUGCAUUGUCUCUCAAUGGUAAGUGUUUCUCACUUGCACACCAGAUGAACAUGUGUACCCUUUUCUGGGGAGGAGACCUAUCAUACAGGAUAGCUAAGUUGCCAACCCUUUCGGUAACCCUCUCUAGACCUUUUGGCUUGAUUUUUCAUAGACUGUGAAGGUUCCUCUUUUGAUUAUAAUGUUGCAGUGAUUUUUACUGAUGUCCUCCAUGUGAAAUUUUGACUAAAACAACCAAGUAGAAGCACUUGGGAGUAUGUUGCUACCUGUGAUCAGAUUUUGGGAUCACCAGUGAACCCUUCUACAACUUCCACACUCCUCCGUAUUCUCAGGAAAUAAACACAGAGACACAAACUUCACCUGCAGAGGACAAUAC